UAUUGGGCCUAAGCGUCGUAGCUGGCGACAAGUCUACCGGGAAAUCCACCCGCCCAACGGGUGGGCGUCCGGUAGAAACUGGCCGGCUUGGAACCGGAAGGCUCAGAGAGUACGUCCGGGGUAGGAGUGAAAUCCCGUAAUCCCGGACGGACUACCGAUGGCGAAAGCACUCUGAGAAGACGGCUUCGACAGUGAGGGACGAAAGCUCGGGUCUCAAACC
rnacentral:rRNA from 1 species